CAUGCAAGUGGAGCGACGAACCGGGGCUUGCCCCGGGGCAGAGCCGCGAACGGGUGAGUAACACGUGGGUAACCCACCCCGAUGAUUGGGACAACCCGGGGAAACUCGGGCUAAUACCAAAUGUGCCCGAAGACCAUGAGGUCUCCGAGUAAAGAUAGCUUCGGCCUUCGCAUCGGGACGGGCCCGCGGCCCAUUAGCUUGUUGGUGAGGUAACGGCUCACCAAGGCGACGAUGGGUAGCUGGUCUGAGAGGACGAUCAGCCACACUGGGACUGAGACACGGCCCAGACUCCUACGGGAGGCAGCAGUGGGGAAUCUUGCGCAAUGCGCGAAAGCGUGACGCAGCAACGCCGCGUGGAGGAAGACGGUCUUCGGAUUGUAAACUCCUUUCAGUUGGGACGAAGCUCAACGGGUUAAUAGCUCGGUGGAGUGACGGUACCUUCAGAAGAAGCCCCGGCUAACUACGUGCCAGCAGCCGCGGUAAUACGUAGGGGGCUAGCGUUGUCCGGAAUCAUUGGGCGUAAAGAGCGUGUAGGCGGUCCGGUAAGUCCGCUGUGAAAGUCGGGGGCUCAACCCUCGAAUGCCGGUGGAUACUGUCGGGCUAGAGUGCGGAAGAGGCGAGUGGAAUUCCUGGUGUAGCGGUGAAAUGCGCAGAUAUCAGGAGGAACACCUAUUGCGAAGGCAGCUCGCUGGGACGUAACUGACGCUGAGACGCGAAAGCGUGGGAAGCAAACAGGAUUAGAUACCCUGGUAGUCCACGCUGUAAACGAUGGGCACUAGGUGUGGGGGGUGUCGACUCCCUCCGUGCCGAAGCUAACGCAUUAAGUGCCCCGCCUGGGGAGUACGGCCGCAAGGCUAAAACUCAAAGGAAUUGACGGGGACCCGCACAAGCAGCGGAGCAUGUGGUUUAAUUCGACGCAACGCGAAGAACC
rnacentral:rRNA from 1 species